AGUGAAUGCUGGCGGUAGGCCUAACACAUGCAAGUCGAGCGGCAGCACAGUAAGAGCUUGCUCUUACGGGUGGCGAGUGGCGGACGGGUGAGGAGUACAUCGGAAUCUACUUUUUCGUGGGGGAUCACGUAGGGAAACUUACGCUAAUACCGCAUACGACCUACGGGUGAAAGCAGGGGAUCUUCGGACCUUGCGCGAUUGAAUGAGCCGAUGUCGGAUUAGCUAGUUGGCGGGGUAAAGGCCCACCAAGGCGACGAUCCGUAGCUGGACUGAGAGGAUGAUCAGCCACACUGGAGCUGAGACACGGUCCAGAGUCCUACGGGAGGCAGCAGUGGGGAAUAUUGGGCAAUGGGCGGAAGCCUGAUCCAGCCAUACCGCGUGGGUGAAGAAGGCCUUCGGGUUGUAAAGCCCUUUUGUUGGGAAAGAAAAGCAGCAGGUUAAUACCCCGCUGUUCUGACGGUACCCAAAGAAUAAGCACCGGCUAACUUCGUG
rnacentral:rRNA from 1 species